GGGGGGGGGGGGGGGGGGGGCGGGGGGGGGGGGGGGGGGGGGGGGGGGGGGGGGGGGGCUGCGCGGGCGUUAGCGGCGGAGGGGGGGGGAGCACGGGGGUAACCUACCUAUACGACUGGGGGAACUGCGUGACGCCGGGGGUAAUACCGGAUCAUAUAUUGAACCGCAUGGUGCCAUAGUUCCCGCCGGUUGUUGUGGCACCUAUCAAGACCUCCGCGCCGCAUUCGCUAGUUGGUAUGGUAACGGCUUACCAAGGCAACGAUGCGUAGCCGACCGGAGAGGGUGAUCGGCCACACUGGAACUGAGACACGGUCCAGACUCCUACGGGAGGCAGCAGUAGGGAAUCUUCCGCAAUGGGCGAAAGCCUGACGGAGCAACGCCGCGUGAGUGAUGAAGGUCUUCGGAUCGUAAAACUCUGUUAUUAGGGAAGAACAAAUGUGUAAGUAACUAUGCACGUCUUGACGGUACCUAAUCAGAAAGCCACGGCUAACUACGUG
rnacentral:rRNA from 1 species